rnacentral:rRNA from 1 species
CCGCGGUAAUACAGAGGGUGCAAACGUUGUUCGGAAUUACUGGGCAUAAAGCGCACGUAGGCGGCGCGUUAAGUGCGGGGUGAAAUCCCACGGCUUACCCGUGGAACAGCUUUGCAUACUGGCGUGCUUGAGUGCGGUAGAGGAGAGCGGAACUCUUGGUGGAGCGGUGAAAUGCGUAGAUAUCAAGAGGAACACCAAAGGCGGAGGCAGCUCUCUGGGCCGUAACUGACGCUGAGGUGCGAAAGCCAGG